CACUGCAAACCACGUUUUGUAACUCACUGCAGAGAGACUUAGAGCAGAAACAGCAAAAUGCUGAAGUGCUUGCUGUUUAAUACAGAGAACUUCCCACGAAAGUCAAGAUCUGCUUUGCCACUCUUGGAUAAACAAUGCCAACAAUAUCAACAACACUUGGACAUACAACCUGUUACCAAGAUUUCCAUUUUCCAGAAAUUAAGGUGCUGUGAUUAUUUCUGGCUGAGAAUUUCUCCCAAACUCUAUUGAAAGUAAAACCUGCCAGAAAUGGAAAAAUCCAUUGGAAAACCUUCUUCGUGCGUUGUUAUCAAGAUAUUCAAAGACUCCUCCGUCUGGGGAGCAGGGAUGAGGCAGCAAAGAAGGAUGCAACUCAGGAACAUCCAUUAUUGACUGAGGCAGCACAAGUGGAGGCCACAUCUGAAGCAUGGGGACAUGCUUCCAGUGACAUUAUCUGAAGUAUCAACAAUUUUUCCAUCUGUUCCUCAUCAUUUGCAACAUUUUUUAAACGGGGAAUGAGCAAGUCAAGGACUACAUUAUUUCUUCAGACAUUGGAUUUUUAUUUUCUUUUAGCCAGUCAAGUGAGCUUAGACUUGAGCCUGGAGGCCAUCUGAGACUGCUUCGGUAUAAAGUCUUUGAGUGCAUUUAGUUUUUCAGAGGGGCAAAGUGUAGUUUGGGGUCUACUUCAUGGCUUAAGUUACCUGAUUUGGUCUGUCUUCCUGCCCCAACAAACCAAUGUCCAUACAGCUAUUUUGCUAAACUGACUCAUGUGGGAGUGCACAGUGAAACUAAUGCCAUAAUAUCUCAUCAGUAAACCUCUCAGGUGCAGAUAAGGACCUUUAAUGAUCCACUGAACAUUGCAGGUACCAGAAGCAUCCAGGAAGCUGAUACCUGACUGCACUCAGUCACCCAGGACAGAAACCUGGAGAUCAUCCUUGACACCUGCCUUUCUUUCAUUCCCCACAACCAAGUCAUGCCCAAAGUCCUGCUGACUUGCCCCCUGUACAGAUGCUCAAGUGAUUCUCUCUAUCUCUAUGUCAACAGUUACUGUCAUUAUUUGGGUCCUAACCUC